AGAUCUGCACGCAAUAGACCACUGAACGAAUAAAUGGCUCAGAACCAUUGACUCUAAAACUCUUCUGAUAACCAGAGGCCAAACGUGUUCGCUUAAUUGUUCCAAGCUAUAACAUGCUAGUCCGAUACUAUUAUAUCCACGGCAAGAGGAAAAUGUUACUAAAGACUGUUCACGACGUGCCUGAGCUGAGCUUGUGGGGUAGCAAAAUCUGGUCUUGUGUUGGUGGGGAAAUGACUCGUGCCUUUGUACAAGUU
rnacentral:lncRNA from 1 species